rnacentral:rRNA from 1 species
AUACGUAGGGAGCGAGCGUUGUCCGGAUUUACUGGGUGUAAAGGGCGCGUAGGCGGGGAUGUAAGUCAGAUGUGAAAUUCCGGGGCUUAACUCUGGAGCUGUAUCUGAAACUAUGUCUCUUGAGUGCUGGAGAGGAAAGCGGAAUUCCUAGUGUAGCGGUGAAAUGCGUAGAUAUUAGGAGGAACACCAGUGGCGAAGGCGGCUUUCUGGACAGUAACUGACGCUGAGGCGCGAAAGCGUGGGGAGCAAACAGGAUUAGAUACCCUGGUAGUCCACGCCGUAAACGAUGGAUACUAGGUGUAGGAGGUAUCGACGCCUUCUGUGCCGGAGUUAACACAAUAAGUAUCCCACCUGGGGAGUACGACCGCAAGGUUGAA